rnacentral:lncRNA from 1 species
GCUCCUUCAUUAUUUGUGAGCCCUUUCUGCAGCAGAACUUGGGAUAUAUCAUUACUUGAGGAAAUGUAAGUUUGCAAAAGAGACGGUUAUGGAACAUAAAGAAGAAAAAAGCAAGAACUUAUUUAUACCGACAGAGAGAAGUUCUCUAAUAGACCUCCUCGCCUCUUCUUCAAAGGAACUUCCCACUCCCAGUAGCCAUGGGGCUCUUCUGAAAAUGAAAUGCAAGAUGAACAAAGCCCUCAGGACAGCAGAGACACACGGACGGCACCGUAUACAGGAGCCCUUGGGACUGCACUGCCAACCAAACGUCAACCUGUUGAACGCAAGUAUAGUGACACAGUUGCAGUGACUACUGUUAUGUCCUUCAUUGUGAUUAGCUAAAUUUCUAAACUGAAAAGAGGAGAGAGACUGGUGUUUUUGGUGAGUACAUGACAGUAAUCAGUAAAGUGACUGAUGGUAAGUACAACAGUUGGUGAUUUGCCAGUGGAAAGCCAACGGUGAAGACACGUCACCAUUCAGGUAAGUUCAGCUGAGCAGGUUCAAUUUUUAUGAUGAGAAAAGGUAAGGAUGCUCACAACUGUAAGCAGUACUGAUAAACAGCUGGGUUCAUACUGCAAUUAUUUUUUUCAUUUAUUUUUCUCAAAUAUUAUUUAGAUUCUUAAAAGUUUUGUGUACAGCACAUCCCAACAUAAGGUGCCAUAUGGCAGUAGAUGGAUGCGUGCUAACAAGAGCGUAUAGGAGAGAACGGUGGUCUCUAGAUAUCCCUUUCCCAGUCACCCUGGCAGCGCUCUGAUUUAAGGCUUCUGCCUGGGGACAAAUAAGGUUUGCUCUAGACUUCCCUGGUAUCAGCCCAGGUGUAUGGGUGGCCAUCUGGCACAUGAAUAAAUGAAUGAACAUUAAGACUAUUCA